rnacentral:rRNA from 1 species
AUUGAACGCUGGCGGCAGGCCUAACACAUGCAAGUCGAGCGAGCGGCGGACGGGUGAGUAAUGUCUGGGAAACUGCCUGAUGGAGGGGGAUAACUACUGGAAACGGUAGCUAAUACCGCAUACCAUCAGAUGUUCCCAGAUGGGAUUAGCUAGUAGGUGGGGUAACGGCUCACCUAGGCAACGAUCCCUAGCUGGUCUGAGAGGAUGACCGGCCACAUUGGAACGGAGACACGGUCCAGACUCCUACGGGAGGCAGCAGUGGGGAAUCUUACACAAUGGGCGCAAGCCUGAUGCAGCCAUGCCGCGUGUGUGAAGAAGGCUUUCGGGUUGUAAAGCACUGUCAGCGGGGAGGCGUUACCCGCAGAAGAAGCACCGGCUAACUCCGUGCCAGCCGCCGCGGUAAUUC